rnacentral:rRNA from 1 species
CACGUAGGGUGCGAGCGUUGUCCGGAAUUAUUGGGCGUAAAGAGCUCGUAGGCGGUUUGUCGCGUCUGCCGUGAAAGUCCGGGGCUCAACUCCGGAUCUGCGGUGGGUACGGGCAGACUAGAGUGAUGUAGGGGAGACUGGAAUUCCUGGUGUAGCGGUGAAAUGCGCAGAUAUCAGGAGGAACACCGAUGGCGAAGGCAGGUCUCUGGGCCGAUACUGACACUGAGGAGCGAAAGCGUGGGGAGCAAACAGG